rnacentral:rRNA from 1 species
CAUGCAAGUCGAACGAUGAAGCCCUUCGGGGUGGAUUAGUGGCGAACGGGUGAGUAACACGUGGGCAAUCUGCCCUGCACUCUGGGACAAGCCCUGGAAACGGGGUCUAAUACCGGAUAUGACUGUCUCGGGCAUCCGGGACGGUGGAAAGCUCCGGCGGUGCAGGAUGGGCCCGCGGCCUAUCAGCUUGUUGGUGAGGUAACGGCUCACCAAGGCGACGACGGGUAGCCGGCCUGAGAGGGCGACCGGCCACACUGGGACUGAGACACGGCCCAGACUCCUACGGGAGGCAGCAGUGGGGAAUAUUGCACAAUGGGCGCAAGCCUGAUGCAGCGACGCCGCGUGAGGGAUGACGGCCUUCGGGUUGUAAACCUCUUUCAGCAGGGAAGAAGCGCAAGUGACGGUACCUGCAGAAGAAGCGCCGGCUAACUACGUGCCAGCAG